rnacentral:rRNA from 1 species
AGUUUUAUUCGGAAUUAUUGGGCGUAAAGCGUCUGCAGGUUGAUGUAAAAGUCUUUUGUUAAAUAUCAGGGCUCAACCCGGAAUCUGCAAAAGAAACUAUAUAUCUCGAGUAUGGUAGAGGUAAGGGGAAUUUCCAGUGGAGCGGUGAAAUGCGUAGAUAUUGGAAAGAACACCGAUAGCGAAGGCACCUUACUGGGCCAUUACUGACACUCAGAGACGAAAGCUAGGGUAGCAAACGGGAUUAGAUACCCCGGUAGUCCUAGCCGUAAACGAUGGAUACUAGAUGUUGUGUAUUUUAUAUAGACAGUGUCGUAGCUAACGCGUUAAGUAUCCCGCCUGGGAAGUAUGCUCGCAAGGGUGAAACUCAAAGGAAUUGACGGGGGCCCGCACAAGCGGUGGAGCAUGUGGUUUAAUUCGAUGCAACACGAAGAACCUUACGAGGGCUUGACAUACUACGAAUUUUCUUGAAAAAGAAAAGUGCCUUCGGGAAUGUAGAUACAGGUGGUGCAUGGCUGUCGUCAGCUCGUGUCGUGAGAUGUUGGGUUAAGUCCCGCAACGAGCGCAACUUUUAUUUUUAGUUACUAAUUCGUUAGGUUCUCUAGAAAGACUGCCCGGUGACAAACCCGGAGGAAGGUGAGGAUGACGUCAAGUCAG